GACGAACCGUGCGAACGUUGUUCGGAUUCACUGGGCUUAAAGGGCGCGUAGGCGGACUCGCAAGUCUGUGGUGAAAGCCCCCAGCUCAACUGGGGAAGUGCCGUGGAUACUGUGAGUCUGGAGGAGGGUAGGGGCAUCUGGAACGCUGGGUGGAGCGGUGAAAUGCGUUGAUAUCCAGCGGAACUCCGGUGGCGAAGGCGAGGUGCUGGACCCUUUCUGACGCUGAUGCGCGAAAGCCAGGGGAGCAAACGGG
rnacentral:rRNA from 1 species